GGUUAAGCGACUAAGCGUACACGGUGGAUGCCCUGGCAGUCAGAGGCGAUGAAGGACGUGCUAAUCUGCGAUAAGCGUCGGUAAGGUGAUAUGAACCGUUAUAACCGGCGAUUUCCGAAUGGGGAAACCCAGUGUGAUUCGUCACACUAUCAUUAACUGAAUCCAUAGGUUAAUGAGGCGAACCGGGGGAACUGAAACAUCUAAGUACCCCGAGGAAAAGAAAUCAACCGAGAUUCCCCCAGUAGCGGCGAGCGAACGGGGAGCAGCCCAGAGCCUGAAUCAGUGUGUGUGUUAGUGGAAGCGUCUGGAAAGGCGCGCGAUACAGGGUGACAGCCCCGUACACAAAAAUGCACAUGCUGUGAGCUCGAUGAGUAGGGCGGGACACGUGGUAUCCUGUCUGAAUAUGGGGGGACCAUCCUCCAAGGCUAAAUACUCCUGACUGACCGAUAGUGAACCAGUACCGUGAGGGAAAGGCGAAAAGAACCCCGGCGAGGGGAGUGAAAAAGAACCUGAAACCGUGUACGUACAAGCAGUGGGAGCCUCUUAAUGGGGUGACUGCGUACCUUUUGUAUAAUGGGUCAGCGACUUAUAUUCUGUAGCAAGGUUAACCGAAUAGGGGAGCCGAAGGGAAACCGAGUCUUAACUGGGCGUUAAGUUGCAGGGUAUAGACCCGAAACCCGGUGAUCUAGCCAUGGGCAGGUUGAAGGUUGGGUAACACUAACUGGAGGACCGAACCGACUAAUGUUGAAAAAUUAGCGGAUGACUUGUGGCUGGGGGUGAAAGGCCAAUCAAACCGGGAGAUAGCUGGUUCUCCCCGAAAGCUAUUUAGGUAGCGCCUCGUGAAUUCAUCUCCGGGGGUAGAGCACUGUUUCGGCAAGGGGGUCAUCCCGACUUACCAACCCGAUGCAAACUGCGAAUACCGGAGAAUGUUAUCACGGGAGACACACGGCGGGUGCUAACGUCCGUCGUGAAGAGGGAAACAACCCAGACCGCCAGCUAAGGUCCCAAAGUCAUGGUUAAGUGGGAAACGAUGUGGGAAGGCCCAGACAGCCAGGAUGUUGGCUUAGAAGCAGCCAUCAUUUAAAGAAAGCGUAAUAGCUCACUGGUCGAGUCGGCCUGCGCGGAAGAUGUAACGGGGCUAAACCAUGCACCGAAGCUGCGGCAGCGACACUGUGUGUUGUUGGGUAGGGGAGCGUUCUGUAAGCCUGUGAAGGUGUGCUGUGAGGCAUGCUGGAGGUAUCAGAAGUGCGAAUGCUGACAUAAGUAACGAUAAAGCGGGUGAAAAGGCCCGCUCGCCGGAAGACCAAGGGUUCCUGUCCAACGUUAAUCGGGGCAGGGUGAGUCGACCCCUAAGGCGAGGCCGAAAGGCGUAGUCGAUGGGAAACAGGUUAAUAUUCCUGUACUUGGUGUUACUGCGAAGGGGGACGGAGAAGGCUAUGUUGGCCGGGCGACGGUUGUCCCGGUUUAAGCGUGUAGGCUGGUUUUCCAGGCAAAUCCGGAAAACUAAGGCUGAGGCGUGAUGACGAGGCACUACGGUGCUGAAGCAACAAAUGCCCUGCUUCCAGGAAAAGCCUCUAAGCAUCAGGUAACAUUAAAUCGUAUCCCAAACCGACACAGGUGGUCAGGUAGAGAAUACCAAGGCGCUUGAGAGAACUCGGGUGAAGGAACUAGGCAAAAUGGUGCCGUAACUUCGGGAGAAGGCACGCUGAUAUGUAGGUGAAGUCCCUCGCGGAUGGAGCUGAAAUCAGUCGAAGAUACCAGCUGGCUGCAACUGUUUAUUAAAAACACAGCACUGUGCAAACACGAAAGUGGACGUAUACGGUGUGACGCCUGCCCGGUGCCGGAAGGUUAAUUGAUGGGGUUAGCGGUAACGCGAAGCUCUUGAUCGAAGCCCCGGUAAACGGCGGCCGUAACUAUAACGGUCCUAAGGUAGCGAAAUUCCUUGUCGGGUAAGUUCCGACCUGCACGAAUGGCGUAAUGAUGGCCAGGCUGUCCUCCACCCGAGACUCAGUGAAUUGAACUCGCUGUGAAGAUGCAGUGUACCCGCGGCAAGACGGAAAGACCCCGUGAACCUUUACUAUAGCUUGACACUGAACAUUGAGCCUUGAUGUGUAGGAUAGGUGGGAGGCUUUGAAGUGUGGACGCCAGUCUGCAUGGAGCCGGCCUUGAAAUACCACCCUUUAAUGUUUGAUGUUCUAACGUUGGCCCCUGAUCGGGGUUGCGGACAGUGUCUGGUGGGUAGUUUGACUGGGGCGGUCUCCUCCUAAAGAGUAACGGAGGAGCACGAAGGUUGGCUAAUCUGGUCGGACAUCAGGAGGUUAGUGCAAUGGCAUAAGCCAGCUUGACUGCGAGCGUGACGGCGCGAGCAGGUGCGAAAGCAGGUCAUAGUGAUCCGGUGGUUCUGAAUGGAAGGGCCAUCGCUCAACGGAUAAAAGGUACUCCGGGGAUAACAGGCUGAUACCGCCCAAGAGUUCAUAUCGACGGCGGUGUUUGGCACCUCGAUGUCGGCUCAUCACAUCCUGGGGCUGAAGUAGGUCCCAAGGGUAUGGCUGUUCGCCAUUUAAAGUGGUACGCGAGCUGGGUUUAGAACGUCGUGAGACAGUUCGGUCCCUAUCUGCCGUGGGCGCUGGAGAACUGAGGGGGGCUGCUCCUAGUACGAGAGGACCGGAGUGGACGCAUCACUGGUGUUCGGGUUGUCAUGCCAAUGGCACUGCCCGGUAGCUAAAUGCGGAAGAGAUAAGUGCUGAAAGCAUCUAAGCACGAAACUUGCCCCGAGAUGAGUUCUCCCUGACUCCUUGAGAGUCCUGAAGGAACGUUGAAGACGACGACGUUGAUAGGCCGGGUGUGUAAGCGCAGCGAUGCGUUGAGCUAACCGGUACUAAUGAACCGUGAGGCUUAACCUU
rnacentral:rRNA from 1 species